CCCUUAGAUGUCCGGGGCUGCACGCGCGCUACACUGAAGGAAUCAGCGUGCUAAAACCAUUGUCGAAAGGCAUUGGUAAACCCAUUAAAAUCCUACGUGAUUGGGAUCGGGCAUUGCAAUUAUUUCCCUUGAACGAGGAAUUCCCAGUAAGUGUGGGUCAUAAGCUCGCGUUGAUUACGUCCCUGCCCUUUGUACACACCGCCCGUCGCUGCCCGGGACUGAGCCGUUUCGAGAAAAGCGGGGACUGCUGCUGUCGGGGCUUUCGGGCCUUGGCUUCGGUGGAAACCGCUUUAAUCGCAGUGGCUUGAACCGGGCAAAAGUCGUAACA
rnacentral:rRNA from 1 species